rnacentral:rRNA from 1 species
GCCUACCAUGCAAGUCGAGCGGUAGCACAGAGAGCUUGCUCUCGGGUGACGAGCGGCGGACGGGUGAGUAAUGUCUGGGAAACUGCCUGAUGGAGGGGGAUAACUACUGGAAACGGUAGCUAAUACCGCAUAAUGUCGCAAGACCAAAGUGGGGGACCUUCGGGCCUCAUGCCAUCAGAUGUGCCCAGAUGGGAUUAGCUAGUAGGUGGGGUAACGGCUCACCUAGGCGACGAUCCCUAGCUGGUCUGAGAGGAUGACCAGCCACACUGGAACUGAGACACGGUCCAGACUCCUACGGGAGGCAGCAGUGGGGAAUAUUGCACAAUGGGCGCAAGCCUGAUGCAGCCAUGCCGCGUGUGUGAAGAAGGCCUUCGGGUUGUAAAGCACUUUCAGCGGGGAGGAAGGCGAUGAGGUUAAUAACCUCGUCGAUUGACGUUACCCGCAGAAGAAGCACCGGCUAACUCCGUGCCAGCAGCCGCGGUAAUACGGAGGGUGCAAGCGUUAAUCGGAAUUACUGGGCGUAAAGCGCACGCAGGCGGUCUGUCAAGUCGGAUGUGAAAUCCCCGGGCUCAACCUGGGAACUGCAUUCGAAACUGGCAGGCUAGAGUCUUGUAGAGGGGGGUAGAAUUCCAGGUGUAGCGGUGAAAUGCGUAGAGAUCUGGAGGAAUACCGGUGGCGAAGGCGGCCCCCUGGACAAAGACUGACGCUCAGGUGCGAAAGCGUGGGGAGCAAACAGGAUUAGAUACCCUGGUAGUCCACGCCGUAAACGAUGUCGAUUUGGAGGUUGUGCCCUUGAGGCGUGGCUUCCGGAGCUAACGCGUUAAAUCGACCGCCUGGGGAGUACGGCCGCAAGGUUAAACUCAAAUGAAUUGACGGGGGCCCGCACAAGCGGUGGAGCAUGUGGUUAAUUCGAUGCAACGCGAGAACCUUACCUGGUCUUGACUCCAAGAA